AGUUUGAUCCUGGCUCAGGAUGAACGCUAGCGGCAGGCUUAACACAUGCAAGUCGAGGGGUAUAGUUCUUCGGAAUUAGAGACCGGCGCACGGGUGCGUAACGCGUAUGCAAUCUACCUUUUGCAGAGGGAUAGCCCAGAGAAAUUUGGAUUAAUACCUCAUAGUAUUAUGAUAUGGCAUCAUAUUAUAAUUAAAGUCACAACGGCAAAAGAUGAGCAUGCGUCCCAUUAGCUAGUUGGUAAGGUAACGGCUUACCAAGGCAACGAUGGGUAGGGGUCCUGAGAGGGAGAUCCCCCACACUGGUACUGAGACACGGACCAGACUCCUACGGGAGGCAGCAGUGAGGAAUAUUGGACAAUGGGCGCAAGCCUGAUCCAGCCAUGCCGCGUGCAGGAUGACGGUCCUAUGGAUUGUAAACUGCUUUUAUACGAGAAGGAACACUACUUCGUGAAGUAGCUUGACGGUAUCGUAAGAAUAAGGAUCGGCUAACUCCGUGCCAGCAGCCGCGGUAAUACGGAGGAUCCAAGCGUUAUCCGGAAUCAUUGGGUUUAAAGGGUCCGUAGGCGGUCUUAUAAGUCAGUGGUGAAAUCUCCCCGCUCAACGGGGAAACGGCCAUUGAUACUGUAGGACUUGAAUUAUUAGGAAGUAACUAGAAUAUGUAGUGU
rnacentral:rRNA from 1 species